CCAUCCAUUCAUGAGAGAUUAUUGCUUUUUUAGAUUGAUACCUUUCAUUUCUUAUUUUUUUCUUAAAGAGAGCAAAGGAUUUUGAAAAUAUCAAAGCUUACCCGGCUGUCUGUCUGUUUGUAUAUCUAUUUAUAAACAGUGUAACAAAUUAGAACGUGUGCACAUUUGAGACCACAGUGUUUAACCACACUAGUGUGUGUCUAUCUAUCUAUCUAUCUAUCUAUCUAUCUAUCUAUCUAUCUAUCUAUCUAUCUAUCUAUCUAUCUAUCUAUCUAUCUAUCUAUCUAUCUAUCUAUCUAUCUAUCUAUCUAUCUAUCUAUCUAUCUAUCUAUCUAUCUAUCUAUCUAUCUUCUGUCUCUCAUCUGUCUCUCUGUCUAUCUGCUUGUCUACCUGUCUAUAAUCAGCCAAAAAUAGGAACAAGAUCACCAUUAACAUACAAGCUAAAUGCUAUAGAGAAAGUUAAACUGGGUUUAGCCAGCAUGGUUAUUUUAUUUAUUUAUUUUUUAUUUUUUGCAGUUCAUUCAUGGUAUACAUUACUUCAUUUAACAAAACAAACAUAGUACAAACAGUAUGGUUUCCACAAAAUGUAGCCUGUGAAUCUGCAGUUUUGUGUUUGGACGCUCUAAGGCUAACUCUCUGUUUGGGUGUGGGUCAUUUUCUGAUCUUUCUGCAGGUGGAGGCCUGACAGACGUGCCAGUCCUGCUGCCAAUUGUCCUCCGCCUCAGCCUGCAGACAUGGCUUAAUACUCUCACACACAAACACACACUCAUGCAGACUUACACAUGCAUACUUAUUUCAACCUCAUCUUUAAAAUCACUCAAAUCAUGCACCCGUGCCACAAACACAAAUACUCACCCACCUACACAGGCUGCUGAAAGCACGCAUGAUUGCCAGCCUGUCAGUCACAUCAUAUGUCAACUAUCUCCCAUGAUUCCCAGGCUGUCACACAUGAUCUCACACAGACCUGUUUGUGCAUUAAGAACAUCAGACAAGAAUGCAGAUACUCAAAGUAAUACGUAGAGUUAGGUCUUAUACCACCAUGAUGGCACAGUUACUGGUCCACCCCACUUCUAUAUUUAAAUGGGUUGAGCUCAACAAAACAGGUGAGCCAGACGUGUAUAUUCAGUGUUCAUUUGAUAUCACUCUGUUUGUCUUUUGUGUAAAGGGUUUCUGUUCCUGUUUGCUUUUGUUAGGGACACUGAGCCCCCCUCUUACCGGGAUCAUCUGUCUGCCUGGUGGACGAGCUGCGUCCUGCCCACUGCACCCAAUUCACAUAGAAAUUUACUCAAAUACUACAGAGGGUUUCAGGAGGAAGGAUUGCUGGAAGAGAUCAGCGGGACUCACUGAGUGGGCAGAGAAAAAUAGCCAGGCCAGUGAAGAUGGAUGGGUGACAGUCCCAUUGGUCACAGCGAUUCAGCACUCAGUCACCACGGAGACAAGCAGUGAAACCAGGAAUGCUGAAAGCCAAAUGAUUUGUGCUGUGAAAAAAAUUUAUAUUUUAGAUAAUUUUCUUAAACAUAAUUUAAUUUAUCAUGUAAAGUAAUGGAGCUUAAGCACAUUAAAUAAAUGCUCACCAUCAAAAUGGUGAUGUGAUAAG
ensembl:lncRNA